GACGAACGCUGGCGGCGUGCCUAAUACAUGCAAGUCGAACGCUUCUUUUUCCACCGGAGCUUGCUCCACCGGAAAAAGAGGAGUGGCGAACGGGUGAGUAACACGUGGGUAACCUGCCCAUCAGAAGGGGAUAACACUUGGAAACAGGUGCUAAUACCGUAUAACAAUCGAAACCGCAUGGUUUUAAUUUGAAAGGCGCUUUCGGGUGUCACUGAUGGAUGGACCCGCGGUGCACUAGCUAGUUGGUGAGGUAACGGCUCACCAAGGCCACGAUGCAUAGCCGACCUGAGAGGGUGAUCGGCCACAUUGGGACUGAGACACGGCCCAAACUCCUACGGGAGGCAGCAGUAGGGAAUCUUCGGCAAUGGACGAAAGUCUGACCGAGCAACGCCGCGUGAGUGAAGAAGGUUUUCGGAUCGUAAAACUCUGUUGUUAGAGAAGAACAAGGAUGAGAGUAACUGUUCAUCCCUUGACGGUAUCUAACCAGAAAGCCACGGCUGACUACGUGCCAGCCGCCGCGGUAAAAC
rnacentral:rRNA from 1 species